UACGUAGGGGGCAAGCGUUGUCCGGAAUCAUUGGGCGUAAAGAGCGCGUAGGCGGCCCUGUAAGUCCGCUGUGAAAGUCAAGGGCUCAACCCUUGGAUGCCGGUGGAUACUGCAGGGCUAGAGUCCGGAAGAGGCGAGUGGAAUUCCUGGUGUAGCGGUGAAAUGCGCAGAUAUCAGGAGGAACACCGAUGGCGAAGGCAGCUCGCUGGGACGGUACUGACGCUGAGGUGCGAAAGCGUGGGGAGCAAACAGG
rnacentral:rRNA from 1 species